AUUGAACGCUGGCGGAAUGCUUUACACAUGCAAGUCGAGCGGCAGCGCGGGGCAACCUGGCGGCGAGCGGCGAACGGGUGAGUAACACAUCGGAACGUACCCUAUCGUGGGGGAUAACGAAUCGAAGGAUUCGCUAAUACCGCAUACGACCUGAGGGUGAAAGCGGGGGAUCGCAAGACCUCGCGCGAUUGGAGCGGCCGAUGUCGGAUUAGCUAGUUGGUGAGGUAAAGGCUCACCAAGGCGACGAUCCGUAGCUGGUCUGAGAGGACGACCAGCCACACUGGGACUGAGACACGGCCCAGACUCCUACGGGAGGCAGCAGUGGGGAAUUUUGGACAAUGGGGGCAACCCUGAUCCAGCCAUUCCGCGUGAGUGAAGAAGGCCUUCGGGUUGUAAAGCUCUUUCGGCAGGAACGAAACAGUGGGCUCUAACAUAGCCCGUCAAUGACGGUACCUGAAGAAGAAGCACCGGCUAACUACGUGCCAGCAGCCGCAGUAACAC
rnacentral:rRNA from 1 species